rnacentral:rRNA from 1 species
UGGGGAAUAUUGCACAAUGGGCGCAAGCCUGAUGCAGCCAUGCCGCGUGUGUGAAGAAGGCCUUCGGGUUGUAAAGCACUUUCAGCGGGGAGGAAGGCGUUAAGGUUAAUAACCUUGGCGAUUGACGUUACCCGCAGAAGAAGCACCGGCUAACUCCGUGCCAGCAGCCGCGGUAAUACGGAGGGUGCAAGCGUUAAUCGGAAUUACUGGGCGUAAAGCGCACGCAGGCGGUCUGUCAAGUCGGAUGUGAAAUCCCCGGGCUCAACCUGGGAACUGCAUUCGAAACUGGCAGGCUUGAGUCUCGUAGAGGGGGGUAGAAUUCCAGGUGUAGCGGUGAAAUGCGUAGAGAUCUGGAGGAAUACCGGUGGCGAAGGCGGCCCCCUGGACGAAGACUGACGCUCAGGUGCGAAAGCGUGGGGAGCAAACAGG